UGACGUCAAGUCCUCAUGGCCCUUAUAGGUGGGGCUACACACGUCAUACGAAUGGCUGGUACAAAGGGUUGCCAACCCGCGAGGGGGAGCCAAUCCCAUAAAGCCAGUCGUAGUCCGGAUCGUAGUCUGCAACUCGACUACGUGAAGUCGGAAUCGCUAGUAAUCGUGGAUCAGAAUGUCACGGUGAAUACGUUCCCGGGUCUU
rnacentral:rRNA from 1 species